rnacentral:tRNA from 1 species
AUUCCCGUAAUUCAACUGGAUAGAAUAACGACCUUCUAAGUCGUAUGUUGCUGGAUCGUGCCCAGCCGGGAAUGC